ACGAAACUAACAGUGAUAUUUUCGACGUUUCACCUGCCGAGACAACGGACAGAACGAGAAGGUUGCGUUAGAUCUAAUGAUCAUGACGACGAGGAUGAUUUACUUCUAUUUUCUCCCCGACCAGACGAGGACAAACUUUCAAUUCCGUAAAGCUUAUCAAUUCGCUCAGUUUUUAGUUAUUUAUUUUUCCGGACACGGUACAGAGGCAGUGUCUGUAAUGGUGAUUGUCAUUGAGCCUUGUAACGGAACGGAUUGGAUGGACAAGAACAUGACCCGUAUUGAUCUGCUCUCUGCAGGACGCAAAAAGCUUCAACAAUUUCAUCAGAAAAAGGAGAGCAAAAUCAGUACUGGCCAUAGAAAAUCAUCAAGAAAAUAUGGUGAAGCUGAGCAGCAUGAACCUGAUGCUGGUGCAUCAUCCACUACCAUAUCAAAAGCAUCGUAUCAGGUUACUUAAAAGGAAGUUUCUCCUCAUGAUGAUUCAGACCUGCAAAUUAUUCGUUAAUCAGUAUCGUGCUUGCUGGGAGUUGGAGAGCCAGAUCUGUCAUUGAUUCAGUCGAGGGAAGAUCAGGUAACAGAUGUAGGUUGUGCCCUCCUUCUCUUUAUACUUGUAUCUUGAUACAAUUUCUGGUAGGUUAGCACAUUUGAUAUGUGGACUUGAUGUAUAAUUAUAUUCUCAUUUGUUGCUGGGUAGGGGCAACGCAGGAACCUGGUGGUUUGGAAUUGAGGCAAUCUGAUCGAAGUAGUGAAAUAGUGCUUGAAGGAGAAUGGUGGCUUCCUUUCUCUGAGCCUUGUGAAAGUUCUGAUGCCCUUUCAAGGUUAGCUUCAGUAAAGACUGGCAUGAAGGAAGCAUCCUGCUACUGAGCCUUGUGAAAGUACUGAUGCUCUUUCAAGGUUAGCUUCAGUAAAGACUGGCACGAAGGAGGCAUCCUGCGAAGCAGAGCAAACUGGUGAGUCAGGAAAAGUAUGUGCAUCUGCUGGUGCGACCUUGUUGGAUGGAUUUUCAGCUUCCACUUUGUCUUUACACGAGGCAGAUGGGGUUUCAUCUGCUAAUCUUGCCAUGAAAAAAUGGAAGGGAGAAGGUUUAUCUUACCAAGAAAACUCCGCCAUGCCUUUUCCGUUUGGUGACUAUGAAAAAGACUCGGGCUGUUUUGGACAGUAGGACAGCAGCAGAGGGUUACAAGUUACAAUGGACAAUAUAUGCCAGACAAAUCUUGUAUGGAUGAGAAUAUUAGCCUUGGUGGACCCGGUGAAACUAAAUGUUCAGCUGGUGGACAGAUUGUGCCACCUGUUGUGGGUGUGUGCGCAAUCAGUCUGUCGCAGCUCAUGGAAAUGAUAAGGGGGCUCACUGAAGAAGAGUUUAGGUUUUUGCUCAAGUCAAGUGAAUCAGUUUCUAAUUCAGAUAAACAAAAGGACAGUGCCAGGGACUUCGCUUAUACCUCAAGUCUGCAGUUUGCGCAAAGCCAAUAAUGACCAAGUUGCCAUUUGCUAUAGACCUGGAUCCUAAUACUAGUGGUAGAUUAGAAGAUGAAGACGAUGAUAAAGGUAAAUCUAGAAGAAUACAAGUAUGAUAUCUACUCGGCUAUAUAGCGUUUAUUUCCUUGCCAUUAAGAUUUAAGACAGCUCAUAGUUCAAUGAAUACAUUUCUUCUUUUUUUUUUUUUUUUUUCAAUUUUUUCUUUAUCCACUGUAGUUCAUGGUUUCAAGUCACUUAUUACGUCAAAAAUUGUGCCACGAUUCACAAGACCUGUUACUGAAAUGAUCGAUGGUCUUUAGUA